UCUCACCACACUUCCCAACCUGUCCCACCCCUCUGUUGUCUUGGGAAAGUUAUUUUUCUUUGGGGGUUGCUUCCUGUCUGCCCUUCCAGCCUUAAGGACUGACCCUCUAGCAGAUCUGUGGGAUCUGGGGGAAAUGGAUUGGUCUCAGGGAAACCAGCAAUAAGGACCCCAAUAGUACAAGCAUUUACCUUCAGAAUCUGACUGUUGAAUGUGUCCAGAUUCCAGGGCCCUAGGCUUGGGGGGUGGUGAUCAAAAAAUGGGGACUCCUUCCCUUCCUCCAGGGGGGGCACCUGUGUGGGAUCCAAGGCUGGUUCUGAGUAGGGGUACUGGGGCAGCCUUAGAGAGAGUCCCUUGGGGUCUUGGCUGAGGGCUUGAUGUCCAUCCAGGCUAGGAGGGCCACACAGGAGGCUGGGGACAUGGCUGGGGCUGUGAGCCCAGCCUCUGGGCACACAAGGAGCAGCCCGAGGGGAGACCCGUGGGAGGGGAACAGAACAGUCUGGUUUGCUCUAGGCUGAAGUGCUGAGGGUCUCUGCUAGGCCGUGAGGACACAGGGACAGAGACAUGAGUGAUGUAGGACAAAGUGUCCAGAAACACAGCCCUCCCAGGAUGUUGGUCAGAAAGGAGCAGGUCCCAUGGGGCAGAGCCUUACCUGUCCCUGGAGCCCCAUAAUCCUCAGGUGUCUCAACUGUCCAAGGGAUGGUCUCCUGCCUUCCUCAAAAGGUACUUUAGACUUAAGAGAUGACAAAGUGGGGAGUGAGUGGGGGCUCAGAGCUACACAGCUGCCCCUUAAAGUCAGGAGUCAUCAGAGGUGCUUGGGUGGCCAUGGGACCACACUGCCUGUCGUCUGCGAGGAGUAGCCCCAAGAAGGCAGCAGAAGUGAAGGGUCCUGUGGUCAGGGCAGGAGGGAUGAGGGAGAUAGCAGAGCCUUGGAGUACCCAGCCUUCCCAGGAGGCAGGAACAGAGCCAUUCCUGAGGGAGACGGGGGCUCCGUGUCCCACCUGGUGCAGGGCUUGUGACCUGCAUGCACACCGUCACAGUUGUCCUAACUGGCUGGGUAGGGGACUCCAGUUCACAGGGGAAGCACCUAGAUCCAGAAGAAUGAUGUGAUAUGGGGACCAGAUGCUGGGCUGUGGAGGAAACCGAGGCUGCAAAUGCACCUUUCACAUCUGGAAGAGGUGACAUGGAAGAGCUGCUGGGAGCAUGGGGGGCUGCCUGCUGUCCAGAGCUGGAGUGGAAAAGAGAGUCCCUUGGGUGAACAAGCAUGCCCAUCAUGGGAACAGUCACAGAGGCUGUAGAUGAGGGAAGGGCUGCCCAACACCUGGAUUGUCCCCGCAUCUCUCACCCUCUUCUUUGUCCACACAGGUCAGCCCAAGUCUGCGCCCUCGGUCACGCUCUUCUUGCCAUUCUCUGAGGAGCUGGGCGCCAACAAGGCCACCCUGGUGUGUCUCAUCAGUGACUUCUACCCUGGCAGCUUGAAGGUGGCCUGGAAGGCAGACGGCAGCCCCAUCACCCAGGGCGUGGAGACCACCAAGCCCUCCAAACAGAUCAACAACAAGUACGUGGCCAGCAGCUACCUGAACCUGUCGCCGGAGAAGUGGAAAUCUCACAGCAGCUUCAGCUGCCUGGUCACGCACGAGGGGAGCACCGUGGAGAAGAAGGUGGUCCCCGCAGAGUGCCCCUAGGUCCCUGAGACCCUCCCCCACCCAUGGGGGCCUGGAGCCACAGGACCUCCAGGAGGGUUUGCCCUCCCACCUGGGUCAUCCCAGGCCUUCUCCCUGCACCCAGUCAACACUCAAUAAAAUGUUCUUUAUUCA